GCCAUAGUUCAGUAGUAGAGCAUUGCUUUGUAUGCAGAAAGUCCCAGGUUUGAUUCCUAGGAGAGACU